UGCCUAAACCUCGCAAGAGGCAUGGCAUGAAGAAGUCCUCGUGAGCAAUAAGCUCUCCCUAGAGCGCUCACGAGGCUGUCAUCCGAAAGGGUGGCAGGUGGCGCAAGCCAUC
rfam:Microgenomates (Woesebacteria) bacterium GW2011_GWA1_37_7 TS53_C0073, whole genome shotgun sequence.